rnacentral:rRNA from 1 species
GCCUAAUACAUGCAAGUCGAGCGAACAGAUAAGGAGCUUGCUCCUUUGACGUUAGCGGCGGACGGGUGAGUAACACGUGGGUAACCUACCUAUAAGACUGGAAUAACUCCGGGAAACCGGGGCUAAUGCCGGAUAACAUGUUGAACCGCAUGGUUCUACAGUGAAAGACGGUCUUGCUGUCACUUAUAGAUGGACCCGCGCCGUAUUAGCUAGUUGGUGGGGUAACGGCCUACCAAGGCGACGAUACGUAGCCGACCUGAGAGGGUGAUCGGCCACACUGGAACUGAGACACGGUCCAGACUCCUACGGGAGGCAGCAGUAGGGAAUCUUCCGCAAUGGGCGAAAGCCUGACGGAGCAACGCCGCGUGAGUGAUGAAGGUCUUCGGAUCGUAAAGCUCUGUUGUUAGGGAAGAACAAAUGUGUAAGUAACUGUGCACAUCUUGACGGUACCUAACCAGAAAGCCACGGCUAACUACGUGCCAGCAGCCGCGGUAAUACGUAGGUGGCAAGCGUUAUCCGGAAUUAUUGGGCGUAAAGCGCGCGUAGGCGGUUUUUUAAGUCUGAUGUGAAAGCCCACGGCUCAACCGUGGAGGGUCAUUGGAAACUGGAAAACUUGAGUGCAGAAGAGGAAAGUGGAAUUCCAUGUGUAGCGGUGAAAUGCGCAGAGAUAUGGAGGAACACCAGUGGCGAAGGCGGCUUUCUGGUCUGCAACUGACGCUGAUGUGCGAAAGCGUGGGGAUCAAACAGGAUUAGAUACCCUGGUAGUCCACGCCGUAAACGAUGAGUGCUAAGUGUUAGGGGGUUUCCGCCCCUUAGUGCUGCAGCUAACGCAUUAAGCACUCCGCCUGGGGAGUACGGUCGCAAGACUGAAACUCAAAGGAAUUGACGGGGACCCGCACAAGCGGUGGAGCAUGUGGUUUAAUUCGAAGCAACGCGAAGAACCUUACCAAAUCUUGACAUCCUUUGACAACUCUAGAGAUAGAGCUUUCCUCUUCGGAGGACAAAGUGACAGGUGGUGCAUGGUUGUCGUCAGCUCGUGUCGUGAGAUGUUGGGUUAAGUCCCGC